GAGACGCUGGCGGCGUGCCUAAUACAUGCAAGUCGAGCGGGGCUGUUUGCUGGAAGCCUUCGGGCGGAAAGCUUGCAGCCUAGCGGCGGACGGGUGAGUAACGCGUGGGUAACCUGUCCUGAAGUACGGGAUAACAGUUCGAAAGGGCUGCUAAUACCGUAUGUGGUCAAGGGGAGUUCGCUUUCUUUGACUAAAGGUGAAAACCGCUUCAGGGUGGGCCCGCGUCCCAUUAGCUAGUUGGUAGGGUAAUGGCCUACCGAGGCGACGAUGGGUAGCCGGCCUGAGAGGGUGACCGGCCACACUGGGACUGAGACACGGCCCAGACUCCUACGGGAGGCAGCAGUAGGGAAUCUUGCGCAAUGGGGGAAACCCUGACGCAGCGACGCCGCGUGAGUGAAGAAGGCCUUCGGGUCGUAAAGCUCUGUCCUCCGGGAAGAUAAUGACGGUACCGGAGGAGGAAGCCCCGGCUAACUACGUG
rnacentral:rRNA from 1 species